rnacentral:rRNA from 1 species
UACGAAGGGGGGCUAGCGUUGCUCGGAAUCACUGGGCGUAAAGCGCACGUAGGCGGAUCUUUAAGUCAGACGUGAAAUCCCUCGGCGUUAACCGGGGGAACUGCGUCUGAUACUGGAUGGCUUUGAGUUUGGGAGAGGGAUGCGGAAUUCCAGGUGUAGCGGUGAAAUGCGUAGAUAUCUGGAGGAACACCGGUGGCGAAGGCGGCGAUCCUGGACCAACACUGA